GCAACUUAGGUUCUGCAUUGUUUGACUUCAGCUCACAUAAACGAAUAAACGAUUUUAUUUGUAUCAAAAGAUGCAUUGUACAACUAGUAUGCUGGGCUAGCGUCGAGCAACGGAUGAGAUAAACAAAAUCUGUAUUCCUUACAACAUAUUUUUCUGGAUUUUAGGCAUAAUACUAUGAAUAUGUAUGGCCAUUCAGUUGCUUGGGAAUGAGUUUUGACUUCAAAAUAUUGGACUAUAACUUCAUUUGUCACCCUGCUGGAUGAUGGGUUCAAACAGAUCCAUAUAAAGGAUGCUCAUGAAAGGUUCAUGUGAUGUGAGCCCGUGGUCUCCUCAUCAUCAUUGAGACAUUUGGGAUU